UUCGAAGGGGGCGAGCGUUGUUCGGAAUUACUGGGCGUAAAGCGUGCGCAGGCGGCUUUGCAAGACAGAUGUGAAAUCCCCGGGCUUAACCUGGGAACUGCAUUUGUGACUGCAUGGCUGGAGUGCGGCAGAGGGGGAUGGAAUUCCGCGUGUAGCAGUGAAAUGCGUAGAUAUGCGGAGGAACACCGAUGGCGAAGGCAAUCCCCUGGGCCUGCACUGACGCUCAUGCACGAAAGCGUGGGGAGCAAACAGG
rnacentral:rRNA from 1 species